rnacentral:rRNA from 1 species
UACGGAGGGUGCAAGCGUUAUCCGGAUUCACUGGGUUUAAAGGGUGCGUAGGUGGGUAAGUAAGUCCGUGGUGAAAUCUCUGAGCUUAACUCAGAAACUGCCGUGGAUACUAUUUAUCUUGAAUAUUGUGGAGGUGAGCGGAAUAUGUCAUGUAGCGGUGAAAUGCUUAGAUAUGACAUAGAACACCAAGUGCGAAGGCAGCUCACUACACAAUUAUUGACGCUGAGGCACGAAAGCGUGGGGAUCGAACAGG